GGGGGUGUACCGGUUUCGACGGGGGUAUGGAGGCGGGAUCAGCGGGCGGCGGCGCCUGACCGCCAUAAAACGGGCAAUUUAUAAAUUAAAUAACAACAACACUGUUGCUAUUGCUGCCUAAUUAAAGGCAGCCGUCCGACUCGGAAGGACCGCGAGCCGAGGAGGGCGUCGUUUAGCGGUAAAUGUGCGUGCAGUAAGCUUUGCCUGCGCCACACAUCAUGAAGCUUACCUGACCCGAUGGCGUGACGGUUUGCCAUCUGGAAGGGGAACAGGGAGGAAGACUCCCGGAAUAAUCGUCUGCGCCCGGAGAAAAUCCCGUUAAAGUGCUUUCGGACGGGGGUUCAACUCCCCCCACCUCCACCA
rnacentral:tmRNA from 1 species